CUGAAAACUAAAUCACUGGCUCUGCAUGAAGUGGCAGAAGCAAGAGGAACAAGUUAUCUAGAUUAAACAUGAUAACGGAAGCAUACAGGCCUUAGAUAUAAAAGUAUAAAGCUGUUCAUUCGGUCCCAUACCCUGA